CGCUUGAAUAAACUUUUUCAAGUAGAAUCUGCCCAAUGAAAUUUAAAUGGCCGCAGUACCCUGACUGUGCUAAGGUAGCAUAAUAAUUUGUUUCAUAAUUGGAGGCUGGAAUGAACGAUCUGACGUGAUAGAAACUUUUUUUUUCUUAAUUUACCUGAAUUAGUAAUUAUGUAAAAAAACAUAAAUGUUUUAGAGGGACGACAAGACCCUAAAAGCUUAAUUUUAAAUGACUUUAAUACUUUAAUAAAUUAUUAUUGUUAAAAAAAAUUUUUACUGGGGCGGUAAAUUUAUAAACUAAUUUUUUUUUAACACUUUAAGUGAAUAUCAACUACCUUUUAAAAAACAAGAAAAAAGUUACUUUAGGGAUAACAGCAUAAUAAACUAAUAGAGCUCUUAUCGACUAGUUUGAUUAUGACCUCGAUGUUGAAUUGAAAUACUUUAAGGAGCAGAACCUUUACAUAGUAAGUCUGUUCGACUUUUAAAAUUUCACA
rnacentral:rRNA from 1 species